rnacentral:lncRNA from 1 species
UCAAGUUCAACUCAUUCCGUUCGUUCCUCUAUCUAUCCCGUGAGUGUAAAGGGGUAAGUAACUCCUCAUGGCUCCGGGGUGGAGGAAGCUGGUCCAUCGAAUCGGACCCUCCCAGUGGUCCCCUAUCCGGAUGAGGUAAUAGGGGGGAUUCUGUUGAGUCGAUCCAACGCCGUCUUUUGGCCAAACACUCCUUGCCUUCGGCCGAGGUCAAAGUAGAGAUUUUUUAUUGUGAGGAUGGUAAUAGGGGGGAUUCUGUUGAGUCAAUCCAACGCCGUCUUUUGGCCAAACACUCCUUGCCUUCAGUCGAGGUCAAAGUAGAGAUUUUUUAU